ensembl:lncRNA
GCUAUUUUGAAAACUUCUAUAAGUGAAAUGAAGCGUGCACAACGGGGAGAGUUUAUCCUGAUACAAAAGCGCAUUAAUUCCCUAGUUGAAAAGUAACAAUAAACAUUCAUUACAGUCCGUGGCAGGAUAUAAAAUAAUGUGUCCUUACUUGUAUCGUUUAGUUGCGCGACCGUUUCCCCCUGAGCAGUUCCAGUUCCAAAACUUUCUCCAGAGUUCCAGUUCUAGAACGAAGUCUCUUCGUUGAGAGAACAACUUUAUGAACGACCGAUUAUACAAGUAUGAGUUUCCUCCCGAGAAAACAAGACAAAUUCCACCUCCGUUAAAUUACACUUGGCACGGGAGUUCCUUUUUGUCGGUGACUCAUUUCACAACAAGUUCCACAGAAAAGUUUUUCGGUCCGUUCCAAAAGAACCCGCUCGGUUCGCUCCUCGGUCUCGGAUAUGGUUCUUAGCUCCUCUGUUCACGGCGGUGGAGACAGUUGUUUGCUCCGAUGACAUAGCUAGCAGAGCAAUAAGAAACAGGUGUACAAUACAAAUUAUUUCGCGAUUAGUUUCUCCGUCUCCAAACGAUUACGCAGCGUCUCAAUUUCCCGCAAAAUAAACACAUGCGAAGUAAUCCAGUUCGGGAGAUGACAGACGCUGCUCCGGACAGAGCGCGUGAAACAAAAGAAAAUAUGAACUACGGUAUAUGAUGACUCCACUUUUAGUAGCCUACUCCAGCCUGCUUACGAACGAACGCCAGUCAUACUCAAGAAGAGAACGUUUCUCAGUAGCAACACCGUCAGAGCCUGAGGAUAUCCAGAUAUGUAUUGUUCCCCUUCAAGUAUGCUUUCCUUUAAUAAAGCCCCAGCCUCCUGUAAAUUCCAGUCCCCGGCGGCGGGAGCCGUGUGACAGGCAGAGGUGAAGUCUCGCACCGGGGCGUCCGGUAGCGGUAUAGUUGAAGUGAGCGGCAGAGAGCGGAUAGCCUGACAACUUCCACAGUCCUCGAGUCGAUGUUCGCGUUCAGAGAGACUCGUCAUCAAGCUCGAGACCCUGGGUCUCGACCCCGCCCUGUGCAACUGGGUACUGGACUUCCUGACG